rnacentral:rRNA from 1 species
GACGAACGCUGGCGGCGUGCUUAACACAUGCAAGUCGAACGGAAAGGCCCUGCUUUUGUGGGGUGCUCGAGUGGCGAACGGGUGAGUAACACGUGAGUAACCUGCCCUUGACUUUGGGAUAACUUCAGGAAACUGGGGCUAAUACCGGAUAGGAGCUCCUGCUGCAUGGUGGGGGUUGGAAAGUUUCGGCGGUUGGGGAUGGACUCGCGGCUUAUCAGCUUGUUGGUGGGGUAGUGGCUUACCAAGGCUUUGACGGGUAGCCGGCCUGAGAGGGUGACCGGCCGGCUGGGGGGUGAGAGCGGGCACCGCGCGCGGAGGGGGGGGGUGGGGGAGAAGAGUGCAGGCGGGGGGGGAGUGGACUGCAGCAAGGCGCGGGGCGGUAGGACGGCCGGCGGGUUUAGAGCCGGCUCCGCGGGGGAGGGAGGGGGAGUGGGGGUGAGGGGAAAAGAAGCACCGGAGAACGACGCGCCAGCAGCGGUGGUAAUAAGCGGCAGGGCCCUGCUCCACC